rnacentral:rRNA from 1 species
GACGAACGCUGGCGGCGUGCUUAACACAUGCAAGUCGAGCGGAGCGGCGCACGGGUGAGUAACGCGUGAGUAACUGCCCCCCUCUCUGGGAUAACAGUUGGAAACGGCUGCUAAUACCGGAUAGUGGGGGAUGACUGUCGUCCUCUCAGCUUGUUGGUGGGGUAGUGGCCUACCAAGUCGACGACGCGUAGCCGGCCUGAGAGGGCGACCGGCCACAUUGUGCACAGAUACGGCCCAAUCUGCUACGGGAGGCAGCAGGGGGGAAUAAUGCACAAUGGGGGAAACCCUGAUGCAGCAACGCCGCGGGCGGGAUGACGGCCUUCGGGUUGUAAACCGCUUGCAGCCAUGACGCGGUAGUGGCAGAAGAAGCACCGGCUAACUACGUUCCAGCAGCCGCGGUAAUUC